UAAUCGGCUAAGAUAGAGACAGUACGUGAAAAACGGCAGUUUAGCGAUUCGGGGAUGGUGAAAGCUCGGACAAUGCGUUUUUUAUGGAAAAUCACUCUGGAGCUGGUACGCUGAACAAAGUAGGCGGACCCGUGAUACGCGACGUUACAGCGGCUAAGAGGCAGGACUGUAUCUAACUAGAUGUUCUGCAAAUUAGGGUGGUACCACGGAAUAACAGCUUUUCGUCCCUUUU
rnacentral:ncRNA from 1 species